rnacentral:ncRNA from 3 species
UGUCCUAAGAUGAGCUCAACGAGAA